CCUACGGGAGGCAGCAGUGAGGAAUAUUGGUCAAUGGGCGGAAGCCUGAACCAGCCAAGUCGCGUGAGGGACUAAGGCCCUACGGGUCGUAAACCUCUUUUGCCGGGGAUCAGUGCCCAGCUCUCGAGCUGGGAGGGAGCGUACCCGGAGAAAAGGCAUCGGCGAACUCCGUGCCAGCAGCAGCGGUAAUACGGAAGGUCCGGGCGUUAUCCUGAUUUAUGGGGUUUAAAGGGAGCGUAGGCCGCAUGUCAAGCGUGCGGUGAAAUGUCCGGGCUCAACCCGGGCCUUGCAGCGCGAACUGGCGUGCUUGAGUCCGCGGAAAGCAGGCGGAAUUCGUCGUGUAGCGGUGAAAUGCUUAGAUAUGACGAAGAACACCGAUUGCGAAGGCAGCUUGCUGCAGCGGAACUGACGCUGAUGCUCGAAAGCGCGGGUAUCGAACAGGAUUAGAUACCCCUGUAGUC
rnacentral:rRNA from 1 species